CCACUCUCCAAGCCUAAGUACUCCUAUGCGACCGAUAGUGAACCAGUACCGUGAGGGAAAGGUGAAAAGCACCCCGAUGAGGGGAGUGAAAGAGACCCUGAAACCGAACGUCUACAAGCAGUGGAAGCGGGCAACCGCGACCGCGUACCUUUUGUAUAAUGGGUCAGCGACUUAAUCUGACGAGCGAGCUUAAGCCGAUAGGUGUAGGCGCAGCGAAAGCGAGUCUUAAACGGGCGCUUGAGUUCGUCGGAUUAGACCCGAAGCCGAGUGAUCUAGCCAUGGGCAGGUUGAAGGUGCGGUAA
rnacentral:rRNA from 1 species